CCAGAUUCAGUAAAGAAUGCACUGCAGUUUACACCAAAAACUGGAAGAAGUCUCUAACUUGAGGAAAACUUGCAUUUCCAUUUGGACAGAUUCUGACUUGCAGGAGAAAGUAAUUUCACUGCACUUGGGAAGCUCAGGAAUCAUCAAGAAGCAAGUCUGACUAUGGAAAGGUGUGAUGCUCCCUUUCUCAGUCUCCCUGGGCAAAAAGACAAGCUAUAAGAGUGAAACAUCUUCUCAACGUGGGUAAAGAUAGGACACCAGCAGGAAUCCCUGCUUUUGCCACCACUUGCAGGUGAGAACCUAGCGCGCUAACAAAACAGUCACCUUCUUUU
rnacentral:lncRNA from 1 species